GUGCCAGCAGCCGCGGUAAUACAUAGGGGUCAAGCGUUGUCCGGAUUUAUUGGGCGUAAAGAGCUCGUAGGCGGUUCAACAAGUCGGUCGUAAAAGUUUAGGGCUCAACCCUAAAAUGUCGAUCGAUACUGUUGUGACUAGGAUACGGUAGAGGUGAAUGGAAUUCCGAGUGUAGCGGUGAAAUGCGUAGAUAUUCGGAGGAACACCAGUGGCGAAGGCGCUCUGCUGGGCCAUCACUGACGCUCAUGGACGAAAUCCAGGGGAGCGAAAGGGAUUAUAUA
rnacentral:rRNA from 1 species